rnacentral:rRNA from 1 species
UACGAAGGGGGCUAGCGUUGCUCGGAAUCACUGGGCGUAAAGGGCGCGUAGGCGGCCAUUCAAGUCGGGGGUGAAAGCCCAGGGCUCAACCCUGGAAUUGCCUUCGAUACUGUUUGGCUAGAGACCGGAAGAGGUAAGUGGAACUGCGAGUGUAGAGGUGAAAUUCGUAGAUAUUCGCAAGAACACCAGUGGCGAAGGCGACUACCUGGCCUGUUUCUUGACGCUGAGGCGCGAAAGCUAGGGGAGCAAACGGG